UACGUAGGCAGCAAGCGUUGUUCGGAGUUACUGGGCGUAAAGGGCGCGUAGGCGGCCUGCUAAGUCGAACGUGAAAUCCCCCGGGCUCAACCCGGGAACUGCGUCCGAUACUGGUUGGCUUGAAUCCGGGAGAGGGAUGUGGAAUUCCAGGUGUAGCGGUGAAAUGCGUAGAUAUCUGGAGGAACACCGGUGGCGAAGGCGGCAUCCUGGACCGGUAUUGACGCUGAGGCGCGAAAGCCAGGGGAGCAAAGCGGG
rnacentral:rRNA from 1 species